rnacentral:rRNA from 1 species
UACGUAGGGUGCAAGCGUUGAUCGGAAUUACUGGGCGUAAAGCGUGCGCAGGCGGUUUUGUAAGUCUGUCGUGAAAGCCCCGGGCUCAACCUGGGAAUUGCGAUGGAGACUGGCUUACUAGAGUGCGGUAGAGGGGGGUAGAAUUCCACGUGUAGCAGUGAAAUGCGUAGAGAUGUGGAGGAACACCGAUGGCGAAGGCAGCCCCCUGGGUCAAGAUUGACGCUCAUGCACGAAAGCGUGGGGAGCAAACAGG